rfam:Felis catus isolate Cinnamon breed Abyssinian chromosome E1, whole genome shotgun sequence.
GCCUGGGUGGCUCAGUCGGUUAAGCAUCUGACUUCGGCUCAGGUCCCGAUCUCAUGGUUCGUGAGUUCGAGCCCCAUGUCGGGCU